GUAGGGAAUAUUGGACAAUGGGCGCAAGCCUGAUCCAGCCAUGCCGCGUGAUAGAUGAAGGCCCUCUGGGUUGUAAAUAUCUUUUAUCUGGGAAGAAACUCCUCUAUUCUUAGAGGCCUGACGGUACCAGAGGAAUAAGCACCGGCUAACUCCGUGCCAGCAGCCGCGGUAAUACGGAGGGUGCAAGCGUUAUCCGGAUUCACUGGGUUUAAAGGGUGCGUAGGCGGGCUGAUAAGUCAGUGGUGAAAGCUCCGAGCUUAACUUGGAAACUGCCAUUGAUACUGCCAGUCUUGAAUGUCGUAGAGGUAAGCGGAAUGUUGCAUGUAGCGGUGAAAUGCUUAGAUAUGUUACAGAACACCAAUUGCGAAGGCAGCUUACUAUGCGAUGAUUGACGCUGAGGCACGAAAGCGUGGGGAGCAAACAGGAUUAGAAACCCCGGUAGUCC
rnacentral:rRNA from 1 species